rnacentral:lncRNA from 1 species
GGCUGGAACCAUGGAGGCUGUACCAGAGGAGAAAAAGAAGGUUGCCGCUGCGCCAGGAACCCUUAAGAAGAAAAAGGUUCCUGCCGUGCCAGGAACCCUUAAGAAAAAGCGAAGGAAUUUCACAGAGUUGAAGGUCAAGCGCCUGAGGAAGAAGUUUGCCCUGAAGACACUGCGAAAGGCAAGGAGGAAGCUCAUCUAGGAGAAGGCAAAGCACUAUCACAAGGAGUGCAGACAGACGUACCAGACUGAGAUUCGCAUGGCUAGGACAGCAAGGAAAGCUGGGAACGUCUAUGCGCCUGCAGAACCAAAAUUGGCCUUUGUCAUCAGAAUCCGAGGUAUCAAUGGAGCGAGCCCAAAGGUGCGCAUGGUGCUGCAGCUGCUUCGUCUCCGGCAGAUCCUCCAUGGCACCUUUGUGAAGCUCAACAAGGCUUCAGGUAACACGCUGAGGAUCGUGGAGCCGUACAUUGCCUGGGGUACCCCAACCUGAAGUCAGUAAACGAGCUCAUCUACAAGCAAGGCUA